ensembl:lncRNA
CCGGCCCCCGCUGCAGAAAAGUACAAACACCGAGGGGAGGGAGAGCGCAAAGACAUUGUUUCGUCCUCCAUGCCGAGGCCAAACAGAGAGGAGCCUGUGGACAGCCGGACGCCCGUGACCGAGAGAGUUAGCUGACUUUACUCAGCGCGGAUUGCAAAGCAAACCAACAAGAAUAAAGGCAGCUGUUGUCUCUUCUCCUUAUGGAGAUGUCUCUUAUAUCUAAAUCUGUCCAACUGAGAAGUACCUUAUCAAAGUAGCAAAUGAGACAGCAGUCUUACCUUCCAGAAACACCCACAGGCACGUCCUGCGUGAGCUGCUGCCAUGAACUGUCAAGUGCGUGUUGUCUCGUGUAUUUCAGUUCUUGUCCCCCGGCUUCCUUACUGCGGUGUAAUCAUGAAGGAUGAAACAUCAUAGAAACUGUCUAGCACUUCCUUGCCAGUCUUAGUGAUCAGAACCCUAGUUGACAGUUCCAAUCAAUAGCUUCAGAUAACCCAUGUCUGUCUCCGUGACGGUUGGGAGCGAGGGAGUCCGCCUGUUCUGUUCUGUAGUUGUAGUCGGACUUUAACCUCUCCGUGUCCCUCUCCCUGUGCCGACAGCCGACUCCCAUCCGCCAGCCUGGCCCCUUCACCCGCUCUGCGCUCAUCCUCCGCCUCCCCAGGAAGGGGAAGGGAGCGGGGUCGUAGGAAGGGACGAGGACUUUGAAACUCCUCUUCCUCCAAGGACAAAAGGCCCCUGGCCCCACAGUGGCCUCGCACUCCCGGCACCCCCAAAGGACACCUACUCACACAGGCGUGGCAGCCGGCCAGGUUGGCGACAAGAAGAUGUCUGUUGUGGUCAGCAGGGUUGGCGUGCACCUUUCUGCCCAGUCUGGUGGAAUGUGGUCCCAGGAAGAGGGGUGUGGGCCCCACAUCCCAGGCCUGGGCCUCUGGGCGUUUCGGUGUCGUUUUCCUUCAGUUGGUCCCCACCUGUAGCCCCCUGCUCCCAGUUUCUCUCCCUUAGAGUUGGUUUUAAGACCACAGGCAGUGCCUGCAGCUCCAUAGGGUUUCCUCUGUGCCCCUCUGCCCCGUCGCUUCCUACCCCCACAUAAAGGAGGGCAUCGUGAGUUGGUCGCAUUUCGGCAGGCAGCUUUGGCGGUCUGUGGCCCUCGCAGGCAGGGCCCUGCUGCUCCCAGGCCCCCGCCGUGGGGUCAGGGUGACAGGAGGUCUGAGGGAAAGCCUUAAGCCACGGGAUUCUCACCAGCUGUGUCCAGCCCAGUUUUGGGGUGUGACCUCAAUUCUGUCUGUACUUGAGCACUAUGAAGACUGGGGGCACUUUUCAGUGACUGUCAGCUUUCAGAUACCCUGGGGCGACGUCAUUAAGGACACACCCACAGUUUCCCACCCUGUUAGUCAUUAGUUACUACCUCCUCUCCCCAAGGAACCCGUCUGUCCUCCCAGGUAUGUCCGCGGGGGCCUGGCCCAGCCCUGCGCGUUGGUGACUCUGACACAGCCAGUGAGAAGCCGACUUUGAUGUUGUAGUGAUCUGGGUUACUGGGCCACAGCCCAGUACAGCUCCUUAUGUGGCACAGCGGACACCUGGAAAUGCCACCUGCCCCAGUCGAUCAGUGCCAAACUAGCCAAGGAGCUCAGCCUCUCAGCUUGGGACGGUGAAAGCCACCACCCCGAUGUGAGUCCGGAUGAGUCUGCCAGGGACCACCAACAUUGGAAGUGGGACCCGGAGCAGCCUCCGUUUGUCAUUACUGUGAUGGUGAUCAUGAAAGAGUGUAACGACCAGAAACAAACUGCCAGGCUUAGUGGGAAAAGUUUCCAUAGCUGGCAGGACCUCGGAAUUUUAAGUAACUUUUACUAAGUGGCUCCAGCCCAGGAGAGAGCCACAGAGUAUGGACUGAAUCCACCGGGUAGGACUGUGUUGAUGUCUCUUAGCUUGCCGGAGUCCAGCAGCCAGAGCUCCGGGUACCCCCUUCUCUGAGCACUCGGUGGCUCUUGGGGGAGACCUCUGUGAUUGGUUCGUAGCCUGGGUCCGUGCCCCACUGCAUUUCCCGGCUCCAGUUCACGCCCACAGAUUCCAGGACCAAUGGCCUAGGCCUCAGCGAGUCCAUGCUUUCCAGGGCUCCAGCUUCGGCCACGGGGCCAGGGGAAGUGGCCACAGGGCCGGCUGGACGAGCCUUCUGCCCUCUGUCCUCUUCCUCUCCUCUGUCCUGCUCUCUGCACCCGCGAACAGCUCUGUUCUGAAAGGAUUUGUUGAUUCUCUCCAUUUUGAUGUCUUUCUCUUUUAGAUAUUGUAUCAAUCUUUAGAAAAGGCUUAGGCCUAAUUGUUAUAAAUCGCUAGGAUACUGCCUCCUCCAGGGUCUAAAAUUACUUAUUAAAGGGGGAAAAUUGAACAUUGAAAUCAGUUCUUAACAAUGUACAAGGAAAACCUAGAAAACAUUUGGCAGAAAAUUACAUUUUGAUGUUUCUGAAUAAGAGCAAGCUUUUGCAAAAAUGCCAAUCCCAAAAUACUUAGUACUCAGCCUGAGAUAUCUAGUGAAUGUGACAGGCACAGGGAACUCGAGUCAGGGGCCUCGUCAUUGUCACUGCUGGGGUUGCCAUUGCUGGGGACACCGCUUCUGACACUGUCUCAAGGGGGAGGGGGUGGGCGUUGGCAUUGUGAGGCUGACUCACUAGUGGUCUCUGAGGCCUAGACCACCCACCCUACCGCCCACCCCGGGCACCUCUCACCUUGGCAGAUUUGGCCCCAUCCUUGCUGGGGCCAGGAAAACAGAGUGGUGUCCAGGGAGCUAGGUGGGGCCCCAGGGACAGUGGGGAGGGAGGACAGGCCCCAGCCUGAUCUAUUGAUCUCUUUGUGGGAACAGACUCGCAUCUGAAUUCAGGAGCAUGUGGGCAGCUGCCAGGUCUCUGCCCCCUUCUGCCUGUCUUGCCUUUGUCGGGUCCUGCUCGGCAGUGAGAAGAGAUGUGCCGAAGAGGCCACAGGCUCCGCUCCUGCCACGUCACCCCUCUCCCAGCGGUGUUUGUGUCAAGUGGCAAAGCUGUCCUUCCUCGUGACCCUGACCCUAUCCAGUAACUUAGAGAUUAUGCAUAGGCCUGCUUGGUCUCCUCUGCCCUGGGCUUUUGUUUUGCUUUUGAGUUUUGCUUUUAGUUCUCCUGUCCCUUUUAUUUUAUGCACCAACUAGACACACAAAGCAGUUGAAUUUUUAUAUAUAUAUAUAUGUGUGUGUGUGUGUGUGUGUGUGUAUAUUGCACAAUUAUAAACUCAUUUUGCUUGUGGUUCCACACAAAAAAAACCUGUUAAAAUUAUACCUGUUGCUUAAUUACAAUAUUUCUGAUAACCAUAGCAUAGGACAAGGGAAAAUUAAAAAAAAAAAAAAAAAGAAAAAAAAUGACAAAUCUGUCUGCUGGUCGCUUCUUGGGUCCAAGCAGAUCUGUGGUCUUUCCCCCUCCUGAGGGCUUCUCUGUGCUGAGCAGAGGCGGGACGGAGAGUGGAGGCGGGGAAGGCUCCCCACCCAGUGACAAGCCUGGGGGCUUGAGGGGGAGAGGAGAGGUCACACCAGGUAGAAUGCCAGGGACCCCAGACCCAUGCCAGACAGUCCAGAGGUCCUCUCCGGGAAGUAGCAAAGACUCCAUCCAUGUCCCUUUCUAUUCUCCCCCUCCCAUGAGUAAUUGCAUUUGCUUUUGUAGCCCUUAAUGAGCAAUAUCUGCUAGAGAGGUUAGCUGUAACAGUUCUUUUUGAUCACUUAUUAAGUCAUUAAAAAACACCAAAAAAACAGAAUCCAGAAACGUUCUUCCAAAGCAGAGAGCAUUAUAAUCACCAGGGCCAAAAUCUUCCCCUCUGCAUCAUGCUUCUUCUGAGGCCAGCAUCCAACAGUGGGUCACAGGCCCCCGAGGACAAGGGCUGGGGCAGCCCCUGGUGGCUCCCAGGGGUCCCAGGGCUGGGCCGCUCCCCAAGCUCAGUAUUAUCAGGCUGCACAGUUCUCUCCCAGCCCGCCUGGGAGGGGUGCAGGAAGCAGAGGCCGGUGCCGCUGAUGCUGACGUCCGGCCACAAUGGUGGGUGUCCGCAUGUGUCCGCGUGUGUGCUUUGCUUCCCGACAAGGUAGCGUCCUGUCCCGCUGACCUGUAGCCCCGGCCGGAUGGAGCAGGGCCACCCAGCUCAGUGCUUCUGGGAGCUGGACAGUGGAGUGCGAAGGCUGCAGAUGCGGAGCCUGCUCCUUCCCUACUACCACGGCCUCCUUUCCAUUUGAUUUUUCAAUGCUUCAAUCAAUGACAGCUGCUCCAGAGUCAGUAGCCGAAUAUAUGACCAAAUAUCACCAGGACUGUUAUCAAUCGUGCCGAGCCCUCCCUUGAGGGCUCCGUGUACCUGGACACUGUAACUGUGCCGUGUUUGCUCCUCCUCCCCUGCCUUCCCGCCCCCCCUUGUCUCUCUGGGGUUUCUCUGUUUGGGUUUGGUUUGGUUUUUAUUUCUCCUUUUGUGUUCCAAACAGGAGGUUUUCUCUACUGGUCCUCUUAACUGUGGUGUGGAGGCUUCUAUUUGUGUAAUUUUUGGUGGGUGAAAGGAACUUUGCUAAGUAAAUCUCUUCUGUGUUUGAACUGAAGUCUGUAUUGUAACCAUGUUUAAAGUAAUUGUUCCAGAGACAAAUGCUUCAGAUGCCUUUUCUUUCCAAGCAGAGCAUUCCGGAGGGAGGGGGACGGUGACUGAGACCUGAAGGGCGAUCAAAGCGAUAACCCCUACCAGAUGGGCCUGAGACCCCCUGGGAGUCCUGCUCCACCAACAGACUGGGUAGGCUGACGGGUUGCCAUUUGCAGAGACCAAGCACAAGCAGCUUUUGUUCCACGCAGUGGAUUCUCUCCACAGCGAUGCCCACCCCCAGUUUAUUAGCAUUGUUAUCUGUAAGUAAAGACAAGAUUCAUCCUCCUUCCUGGAGAGCUGAGGGAAGGAGGGGCCUGGUGCGCAGGUCACAGGUCACGGUCACAGGCUCACAGGCGGAGCGGGCUUAGCCACGCCCUGCCUGGCAGCUCCUCCUGGAUAUGGCUGGGUUGGGCGCAGGGCAUCCUUGGCCCCCAGGCACUUCUGUCACUCCCCAUCCUGUCACUGACAUGACUUCACUACUCCCCACUGUGCUGGGGUGAGCCAGUGCCAGUGGUUCAGUCCUCAGAGAGAUUCGGACCUGAGCUAACAAAGCCCUUCCCUCCCCUCGGCGAGCGAGUGGAGCCUUCUUGGUUGAUGCAGUUACCCUCCUUAGACGUUGUUCUGGGCUCACCUUCAGGCAAGGACAGUGGGGCUGGAAUGACCUUUGCACAUGGAGCUUAGCGCCCGGAAGCAGGCAGGCUGUCCCCCUCUGAGUCCAAGUCCCAGUCCCCUGUGCCAUCCUGGAGGCCAAGAUCCACAGGAUGGACAGGGCUGCCACCUGACGCCAGAGGGGUUCAUGGGGCACGGGGAUGGGCCUGGGGCAGACUUAGCUGGAGGGGUCUUGAAAAGCCCUCUGUCGCAUUCACCUUCAGUUUUUGUGUUUUGGGACAAUUACUUUAGAAAAUAAGUAGGUUGUUUUAAAAACAAAGAUAUUGAUUGCUUUUUUGUAGUGUUCAAAAAGGUUCUUUGUGUAUAGCCAAAUGACUGAAAGCACUGAUAUAUUUAAAAACAAAAGGCAAUUUAUUAAGGAAAUUUGUACCAUUUCAGUAAACCUGUCUGAAUGUAUCUGUAUACGUUUCAAAAACACCCCCCACUGAACCCCUGUAACCUAUUUAUUAUAUAAAGAGUUUGCCUUAUAAAUUUACAUAAAAAUGUCCGUUUGUGUCUUUUGUUGUAAAAUCAAGUGGUUUUUUCAUAAGGUUCUUUUACUAUUUGAAAAGAUGGGCAGCACGCAGUUUUAUUUUAUUUUUGUAAGUUUUUAAUACCUGUGAAGCAAAGAGUACUCAGCAUGCCUUUCGAAGUGACGCGUUUGCACCUUUUGUUGGGAAGUACUGUAUCCUGUGCUGUUCGCAUUCGAUAAACCUCUCUGUGAAAGUGACUCGAGGUCUGGGCUUUCAUUGUGAGUCAGGGGAGCCAGGCCAGCACCAACACAGGGCCUCUGCAGGCCACCUCCCGCUCCCGAGCUCCCGACUCACCAGAGGGCCCCGCGGCUGUCCACGGGCUGGCGCCAGGCAACAGGACAGGACACGGCACGGGCACGAGAC